UAGGACGGUGGCGGCGGCUAUACAUGCAAGUAGAACGCUGAAGAGAGGAGCUUGCUCUUCUUGGAUGAGUUGCGAACGGGUGAGUAACGCGUAGGUAACCUGCCUUGUAGCGGGGGAUAACUAUUGGAAACGAUAGCUAAUACCGCAUAACAAUGGAUGACCCAUGUCAUUUAUUUGAAAGGGGCAAAUGCUCCACUACAAGAUGGACCUGCGUUGUAUUAGCUAGUAGGUGAGGUAACGGCUCACCUAGGCGACGAUACAUAGCCGACCUGAGAGGGUGAUCGGCCACACUGGGACUGAGACACGGCCCAGACUCCUACGGGAGGCAGCAGUAGGGAAUCUUCGGCAAUGGGGGCAACCCUGACCGAGCAACGCCGCGUGAGUGAAGAAGGUUUUCGGAUCGUAAAGCUCUGUUGUAAGUCAAGAACGAGUGUGAGAGUGGAAAGUUCACACUGUGACGGUAGCUUACCAGAAAGGGACGGCUAACUACGUGCCAGCAGCCGCGGUAAUACGUAGGUCCCGAGCGUUGUCCGGAUUUAUUGGGCGUAAAGCGAGCGCAGGCGGUUUGAUAAGUCUGAAGUUAAAGGCUGUGGCUCAACCAUAGUUCGCUUUGGAAACUGUCAAACUUGAGUGCAGAAGGGGAGAGUGGAAUUCCAUGUGUAGCGGUGAAAUGCGUAGAUAUAUGGAGGAACACCGGUGGCGAAAGCGGCUCUCUGGUCUGUAACUGACGCUGAGGCUCGAAAGCGUGGGGAGCGAACAGGAUUAGAUACCCUGGUAGUCCACGCCGUAAACGAUGAGUGCUAGGUGUUGGAUCCUUUCCGGGAUUCAGUGCCGCAGCUAACGCAUUAAGCACUCCGCCUGGGGAGUACGACCGCAAGGUUGAAACUCAAGGAAUUUGACGGGGGCCCGCACAAGCGGUGGAGCAUGUGGUUUAAUUCGAAGCAACGCGAAGAACCUUACCAGGUCUUGACAUCCCGAUGCUAUUUCUAGAGAUAGAAGUUACUUCGGUACAUCGGUGACAGGUGUUGCAUGGUUGUCGUCAGCUCGUGUCGUGAGAUGUUGGUUAGUUCCCGCACGAGCGCAACCCCUUAUUGUUAGUGCAUCAUUUCAGUUGGGCACUUCUUAGCGAGACUGCGUAAUAAUCGGCAGAGGUGGGGAUGACGUCAAUCAUCAUGCCCGUUAUGACCUUGACUUCACACGUGUCCUACAUGAUUGCUACAACGGAGUUUGCCGAGAAUCUCGGCGUA
rnacentral:rRNA from 1 species